CCACCUGGCGUUCCAGGUUGGAGGUUGUAACGGAAUAUUUGUAACGGGAACUCGGGCGGUCGCAGCUCCUGAGGCUCCUAGGCUCUGACAUGAUGAAUCCGGUUGGUGUGGAUAACUGGCCAGGCGCCAGCUUCGGUGAGCUGACUUCACUUAACCCGGCGAGAAGAUGGGCGGAGUAAACUUUGUGAACCGAAGAUGGGUCUGCUACUGCCUUCAGUCAUACAGCUGCAGGACCCUCGAUGUACUAUAGCCCAUAAUCCAGGAUAAAGUGUGGGUAUCUGCUUUUGCAGCCACUGAGGGACGGGCGGACCAUCGUUGCUAUGGUUCCAUCCGCUCCAGCGAUCACUUAGGGAAACUGGUUUAGAAGACCAGAACCCACCAUUCAAGCUAGAAAAAACUGGCUUAGGUUGUGGUGGCGGCUGCUGACAGCACUGGCUUUGUAAUUACAUUUGUGUGGGUGUGCCAGUGUGCGAUUUUCCUGGCAAUGUUGAGAGAUUUCAACAAAACACAAAUGCACACAGCUGGGGAGAAUUAUUGGAACUGGAAAGCCCUGCCCCCCCAACCCGUGGUUUCAGUGGCGGGCUGCUAACUUUAGUCUCCCUCUCAAAUGCACCAGCUGCACCCACAGGGUGGGGGUGGGGCAGGGAGUGAGGCUGUGUGGCCGUGAGUAUGAACAACUGUGGGUUGGACAGCUGUGACCUUUUAUUUGGAGCUGCAGGGAGAGGUAGAGAUUGGGGAGAAGGUGGGAAUGGGGGGGUUCUGUGUGCCCAGGUACUGGACAAGCCGUGGAAUGUGAGUGGCCCAUCCCAGAUUCCAUCAGAACCCCAGACUCUUGUUUCUUCCGCCGUGCUUUAUGCUGUGGCUGAGUGCCGGAGGCGCCUGGGGCAGGAGUAGUGUCUGCAGCAGGCCGCUGGGACUUUCUGGAAGGCUACUUGUGACUGUAGUGUCCAAUGGCCUGAGUCUGAAAGCCCAACUCCAGGUUGAUUCUCAGAUGUACUGCUCUCUUCUCUGGUCCAGUUGUUCAGUAGGGGGUGACUUGCGCCACAGCAGUAGAAUCUUGUGCCUCGGGGGCCUUAAGAUGUCAGCCCUGCCCUGAUCUUGGGUUCUGCCUUGAGAUUGCGUGUGGAACCCUGACAUCCCGUUUGGUCCUCUGAGUUGUCACUGGAGCCGAAGAGCUAGACCGAUGGCCUUUUCUGUUCACUCUUUAUAGGCUGGGGCUGAGCUGUGGCAGGCCCCCUCCUCCUCUGUUUCCUGUGGGAAUCCCUGGGCGGAGCUGUAGGAGUUGGUGAUGGCAUUGCGUUUGGGGCACAGUUUCAGACAAUCCGUCUCAGGUGGCUUGAUGGAUUGGAUUGCCCUCUGAGUUCCUGGAUUGGAGAAUUCUCUCCAGAGGCCCAGGCUGGGGCCCAAAGGAAGAGAGGACUCCAUUGAUACUCGGGGGCCUCCAUGUUAGGCCCCGAUCUUGUGCCACCGAGGCCCCUUCUCUGAGCUGCCUGCCUUGCCCCCAGUGCAGGAUCUUCCUCCUCCCUGGCCAGCCCAUUCCCGCGCUAGCUCUCUUUGCCAUACUUCAGCACAGCCUUCUCUGAGCCAGAGUCCUGGGGCUGAACCAAGAUAGGAUUUGUCCACUGGAUUUUUUGGGCUGCCUCAGCCUCUCCUAACUGUCUGGGAUACAGGCCCAGGCAGCUAUACAGGGUCCACGGAGCCCGAAAAGACUGUUGGAGCUGCCGUGACAAACGGCUGGAAUGGACUCCCUGGAUGUCGGUAAGGUAGCCUGCCAGGCUAUCUAGGGGUAGGGACAACUCGGGGACCAGGACCAGCCAAGGGAGUUGCGUGGGAGUGGCAAUCUUACUAGAGACAGCCAGGUACCUCCAGUAGCUGCUUACUCCCCUGGGCUAGGAGUAGACACAGCUUGCUCAAGAAAGUGCCCUUCCAAAUAGUUGCGUCAGGUUGUCUUUGAAGUUGAGAGACAGGAGAGAAAAGCGCAGAGCCUUCUUGAGCCUCAGGUUGGGCCAAAGGCAAAGUAGGCACAGGGUGGCGUGAAGCUGAACCGCAUCUUUGGAACCUGGCAUCGAAGCCCGGGUGAGCCAUAGAAGCUCAAGGUGUGGACACAGCACACGGAGGAGGGAGCCAGAGCUUCAAGUGCACAGAACGAAAACCAUGUUGGGGAAAGUAUGCACAAGGCUUCCUGAAGUCCCUCUGCCACCUCUGCAGGGGCCAGGAGAGAUGCUCACUGGCAAAAAUCAGUGUCCCGCUAAUGUGGCCAGUUCUGUCUGGGGACUGAGUAGGCCCUGGUACAGUGAGGUGUCCCAGGUGCUGAGAAGAGCCCAAAGGGUGGGAGGUGGCUCUUAUGAGGUCAGUGUCUGUAUGUCCACCCGACCUGGACAGUGGGCCUCCCCAAAGGGCAUCCUCCCCACCAAGAGUAGAUGAUGUGGGGGGACUGACCGGCCAGGUUCAGUUAGGGUGCUGGGCAGGCAGACACGGGCCAUAAGACCCAACAGGUCAGCUCCCAGUAGCCAACCCAGAGAGGCAUGGCCUCACCCAAACCUGGAUGCCGAUUGUUUCCUGGUCGCGUCCUGUCUCCUUUUGUGUUAACACCCACCCCGGGGUGAUCCAGGUUCCCCUCAGUGCAAGGGGCAUUGUCACGCAUUGGGGAUUUCGACUUCUGCCCCACGUUUUUCUCCCACUCUAUCCAGGAACUUCUAAUGGGAUCCCUUUCAGAGCUGGUGGUGGUGGUGGCCAGGCACCAUCUCGUUCUUCUGGUCUCAGGGUGGUGGAGGCCGAGGCCCACAUGGUCCCUUAGUCCAUCAGACGAAUGCAACUGUGUCCAGGCCUCGAUCUUCCUUCUUCCAGCUGGUGAGGGACCCAGUAGUUGCUCCUUAGAUGGCCACUUGUAGGGACGCUAGCUAAUGCUCCCAGAUGGUCACAUCCAGUUAAUCAGGCUUUCCCAGUGUGCCCUCUGGCUCACCCAGAUACCUUCCCCACCUGUAGCCGGGCCAGAGGACAGCCAGGUGCAUGGCGAAUGCUUCAACCUCCCCCCGCCCCCCUGAUCACAAAGAACUCAACAGUGAGUUUCAAAAAGCUAACUUCUUUUUUUAAUUUUUUAUCUUUUUAAAUUUAAUUUUAUUAAUUUUAUUUCAAAAUCCUAACUUCAUAGUACAAAUAAUUCCAAUAACCCAUUCCCUGAGUGGUGUAGAUAUAUAUAAAAGCCCCCAUUCUCAUAGGAGCCACCAAAAAAACUAAAAAGAGCCCACACAGUUACCCCUGUCGGGGAUCCUUUCCUGCCUAGGCGGCCAUCAGUACUGCUUACUGACUCUGUAAGCCAUCCGAUGCGGUUGAAGGAACGUCUCUUAGAUUCUUCUCUCAGUCUCUAUGUCUCAGGGGUCUCCCUCUCUGGGAUGUGAGCCCAAACGUUGGCGAGCCAGCCAGGUGAUCCGGAAACCCUAGAGCCUCAGAUAUGGGCUAGGGGUCGGGGGGACUCUGGGAGCAGUCCUGGAAUGGCUACAGGCCUCUGCAUUUGAUACCUUAGCACAGCCAGAGAAACCUGGGCCAGGGAGGCCCAGGCACGAGAGGCCAGGGAAGCCUGGGAAAGGUUGCAAGGAUUGUUGAAUGGAAUGGGGGUGGAUGAGGCUAAAAAAAGACCCCCGGGGCACUGGUCAGUGUGGUAGCCUGCUGCAGGCAAGCAAGUGACCCAGUGUUUCCUAAUCCAUGGCUUCUCCCAGCUGUGUGCUACCUACGGCACCCCAACAGAUGCUGACAGCAACCAGGGACCCUAUUCACCAGACAUGAGGUACGGGGCUGGACUGACAGUAUGGGCACAGCCUGGCACACCCUCAUCCCCUACAGUCCCCCUGCACAGGCGGACUCAUAGACUGGACGCACAGAGUCCUGAAGAGAGCAAUGUGACGUGCCAGCCUCCCUGCAGCGGGGGGCCAGCUGCCUGCCCCCUAGAGGCCGGGUGAUACCUCAAGGAGUCCUAAGGGCAUGCCUGCCCGCCCAUUGCUAAGCCCAGGACCACGGAAGGCCACGGGCCCUCAAGUAUCUAGGAGAGCCAACGGAUGCCCUCUCUGCCCAAGACCACCACCAACCACCUGCUGACCGAGCCGGGGGGAACUGUUGUCCUCCCCCACAAACACCUUCCCCCCUCCCCCUGCGACAAUGGAUGUGGCAGAGCUGUCCUUAGUAGCUACGUUAUUCGUCCAGUCACUUGGGGAAAAGGGCUAGAGCUAGGGUUGCAGGUGUCCUGAUAGUUACACCCAACUCCCCACUCACGCUUGCGGGUGACAUCCCAGUGGGGAGACAGUCCCCGCAGGCUCCCCAGUUUUAAGCGAGUGGAGCACUGUAGCUCUGGAAUUGGAUGACGCUGGCCUCCCUGUCCAAGAGGCCCCACAGGGACUGUGCCUCUCUGAUGGCGAGCCUGGGGGACUGCCUGAGGCUGGGUCAGUCUGCGCACCUCUCCACCACAGCCUGUCUUCUGCUGGAUGCCCAUAAGAGUGCCUCUCACUUCUCUGUCUUUCCGCCCGGUUUUCCUGGCAUCUGGUCACCAGCUGGGUCGCAGUGUUUGCUGAUGUGGGGAAAUCCCAUUGUCCUCUCUCUGCCAACAGCAGUGCCCAGGCCAGCUGAUCUGCAGGCCGGACAGGACCGGUGCACCCUCACACCACUUUCUCUGCUUGGCUUAACCCUUCACCCUCCGCACAGCAUACCUCGUGUGUUUUAGUCCAUGUUGGGACUCCUGGACCCUAGGAGUGGUAUUUUGUUGGAUUUUAUUUGCUGUUGUGGUGGCCAGAGGCACGUCCCUCAAUGCCCAGGCCUGAGGGAUCAUGCGGAAGAAUGGCGGUAAGACUGUAAGGGCCAUUGUUGGGCACUGGGGCAGAUGUAGGGACAACUAGCUCAUACUCCAAAAUGGCCACACUUCAGUGAGGCAGGCAUUCCCAGUGUGUCCUCUGGCCUCACCUGGAGGCUGCUCCUAGGAUGGAGGCCAGCCAGGGGCCUAGGGACUGCGUCCUCCUUCCCACCCCCCGUCACAGCGGGUUCCUAAUGUCACGGAGUUCCUGUGGGUUACGACUUGGGCUGCUAAGAGCAAGGUCGAGGAUGAAUCGAAAUCAACUCAACAUUUUUUUGGGUGGGGUUAUUUAUAAAUCAUUUUAUUGGGGAUUCUUACAGCUCUUAAACCAUAUAUCAGUUGUAUCAAGCAUAUUUAUACAUAUGUUGCCAUGUAUUUCAAAAUAUUUUGUUUCUGUUUAAGCCCUUGGUUUUUGAGUUAAUGUCAUAGUACAAAUAAUUCCAGUAAUCCACCACAGGACCUGGUAUUAUAAAAGGAGGUCCUUUCCUGUCCAGGCAGCCACCACUGGAAGUAGCACUGCCACCCCAGUCUGUAAGCCUCCUGAUGCCAAUAAAAAAGUGUCUCUUAGAUA